GGAUGCAACUGCCUGAUCUUCUUUAUUAGAGCCUCUCAAUGAUGUGCUUCCUGAACCAGUUAUGUUUUGAGAUUGCAUUAGUUGCUCGACUUGACAAACAAGCAUUGAUUUUCUUUACGCAACACAUGUCGAUUUAUUUAAUUUGGCACUAGUUCUUUCCGUCAUUGUUAUUCAUGGAAUCACAAUUUGUUAUCACUGUUUAUUUCGUCUGGGUGACUCAGGUCAGGUCUUU
rnacentral:misc_RNA from 1 species